AAAAUGAGAAAGUCACUGAGAGUUGAGAGGAGGCAGCAGAUAACUGGGAAAUCCAAAUCUUCUCCCAAAGUACCUGUGGUGAUUCAGGACAACAGUCUUCCCACGGGGCCCACUCCACAGAUCCACAUACUCCAGAGGCCCGCCAGAGUGGUGGGGUCAAUAGCCUCUGCUCCAUCAGCAGCCAGUCCUCCCAGUCAAGCCCCCAGCACAGCAGAGGCCAGCCCUUCUGGUCAAGUCCCAAGCACAGUGCAGGGCCAGCCCUCCCAGUCAAGUCCCUGGCACAGCAGGGACAGAGCACACAGCAGUCCAGAGGUGGAUCCUGGGCCUUGCUGGAGGAGGAACAGGAGAAAUUCAUGCUUGACAGGCCAACCAGGAUAGCCUAACCCAAAGACAGGAGCCAGCCCAAUAAAGUGAUCAGGCACCCUU
rnacentral:lncRNA from 1 species